AACAAAAUAUGUAGAAAAUUCAAGAGAUCACACAUCUCCUCAAAAAAAAAAAAAAGAUGAAACUUGUUUCUCCUUCUUGUUUCCCUUUACCAUGACUCGCCUUUCAAGACUUCACAUUUUUCUCUUCCCUCAACUUUUGUGGUAGCUAUGUAUAUAGAGGAGUUCCCCAAAUCUCUAACUCUCAAGCCUUCAAUCUCCUUUCCAAUGCCA
rnacentral:lncRNA from 1 species